rnacentral:tRNA from 1 species
GGCCCCUUAGCUCAGACGGUAAGAGCAGGCGACUCAUAAUCGCUUGGUCGCUGGUUCAAGUCCAGCAGGGGCCAUCA